AAUUUCUGGCAUGCCAAACUAAAAAGACUUACUUGCCCUUCUAGAAUUAAUUUCCACCAUCUUUUACACAUUUUUUGGUGCUGAUGUAAAAAUUUAAUUAAUUAUGUAACAUCUAAAUUUUAACCGCAGUUUUGGCGGUUCGAGUCAUGGGCCACCUCCUGGCUUUGGUGUUCCAGAGAGGGAAACAUAGUUAACAGUAAAGGCCAGAAUUUAAAAGGUUAUGUAACCUAUAUGUGUCUACAGCGACGGAAUCUCAUUUGGUUUUGGACGAUAUAAAUGUUUCGGCUAUUUAACUUUAACUUUGAAAUCUAGGAAGAAUGAUCUAUAAUGCUUUGAACUUUCGUCGGCUAAAAUCAACUGUCAAGAAACCAUUAAAAGAAGAAUGGUUAAAAAAAAUUUUAAUCAACUAUUUAAAUAUUUUGUCUUCACCCAAUGUUUUAAUUAACAUGUUUUGAUGUGUAGUUAAUAAGGCACCAUGCACUUCCAUCUUGACGGCUUCGGCUCGUGGGUACAGCAGAAAAUAAUAACGCUACUUCCCCAGCAUUGAACAGUAUUGGUACCGCCUAGUCAGCAGUGCUCGGAGGCUACGACGAGUAGGCGGGAGUCUUGAUGUCGCCCACCCGUGUUCUUGUAAUUUGAGAAUGCGGAUAUUGUUGCAAGGCGGGUAGUCACAAGACGAGGCUAACACAUUUCGGAACAGAGCCCCAGGACUCCUCGUGAUGUGGAGCUGACAGUGAACGGACGCGUGUGAGCCAGGGCGGCGAAGAAAUGGGCUGCGGCGGCGAAUUUUGCUACGGACCUAUUUGCACACGAAUUGUGCAAUACUGAGCAUAGAACACUGGCCAGUGUGCUAACCCUCACUACCGGAACAACCAAUGUAAAGCGUCGGCCUGUAGUUCUUAAGUCAUCCCCGGCAGAACAGUUUGAAAUUUUAAGUAAAUGCAAAAAUAAUUGUCACUACACAACGUAUCAAGAACUCGCAUUUUUUGCAACCUUUUCAACCCUGUCUACAGCCUGUGUAUUCGUACAGGAACAGCCUUGGUGAAAUAAAAGAUAAGCGACAGAAAAAAUGCCAGUGACAAUUUUAUAUUCAAGUUUAUUUGGUCGCUGAAAACUUUUAUUUUUCCUUUUGAAACGUAACAGUAGUUAAUGCGUACUACGUUUAUAGGUUGGCCGGGCAGGACAUUUAUGAACUUUUAACUAUUUGUUUAAGGUCAUUGUGUGUUUAAUAAAGCUGUGCAGCACGAAAAUACACGUAGAAGGCCUUUUAAAUAUUUUUGUAGUUAUUUUCUUGUAAUAUUUUAAAAUAUACCUUUAUUUUAAUUAGUUUUAAUGUUGGUAUGUAACGCAAGGGUCUGUGAUAUUUACAAUUUUUUCUUGGAAAAUUUACUUAAUAUUUAAAGGGAUUGUUCCUAUAUUUAUGUAAUCUAGGGAAUAACUUCUUAAUUGUUGGUACUAUGUAUUUUGUUACUCAAUAUUGUAAUACUUUCACCGUAUAUAAAUAAUGAUUUUCA